CAUCUCCUUAAUCGGAGAGUUCCCUUCGGGGACAUUGGUGACAGGUGGUGCAUGGUUGUCGUCAGCUCGUGUCGUGAGAUGUUGGGUUAAGUCCCGCAACGAGCGCAACCCUUGUCUUUAGUUGCCAUCAUUAAGUUGGGCACUCUAGAGAGACUGCAAGGGAAAACCUGGAGGAAGGUGGGGAUGACGUCAAAGCAUCAUGCCCCUUAUGCUUAGGGCUACACACGUGCUACAAUGGGUAGUACAGAGGGUUGCCAAGCCGUAAGGUGGAGCUAAUCCCUUAAAGCUACUCUCAGUUCGGAUUGUAGGCUGAAACUCGCCUACAUGAAGCUGGAGUUACUAGUAAUCGCAGAUCAGAAUGCUGCGGUGAAUGCGUUCCCGGGUCUUGUACACACCGCCCGUCACACCACGGGAGUUGGAGACGCCCGAAGCCGAUUAUCUAACCUUUUGGAAGAAGUCGUCGAAGGUGGAAUCAAUAACUGGGGUGAAGUCGUAACAAGGUAGCCGUAUCGGAAGGUGCGGCUGGAUCACCUCCUUUCUAAGGA
rnacentral:rRNA from 1 species